GGGGGAAUAAGAAACAACAAAAAAUACAAGGUGCGCUAGGUAGAAUAAAUAAGGGAUAUCAAAUAUCAAAUAAUAUUUACUUUUGUAAAUAUUAUUUGAUAUUUGUAUUAUUUAUCCCUUAUUUAUUCUACCUAGCGCACCCUGUAUUUUUUGUUGUUUCUUGCUCCC